CAGCAGCCGCGGGAAUACGGAGGGGGCUAGCGUUGUUCGGAAUUACUGGGCGUAAAGCGCACGUAGGCGGCUUGGUAAGUUAGAGGUGAAAGCCUGGAGCUCAACUCCAGAAUUGCCUUUAAGACUGCCGAGCUAGCAGGUGAGAGAGGUAAGUGGAAUUCCGAGUGUAGAGGUGAAAUUCGUAGAUAUUCGGAAGAACACCAGUGGCGAAGGCGGCUUACUGGCUCAUACUGGACGCUGAGGCACGAAAGCGUGGGGAGCAAACAGGAUUAGAUACCCCGGUAGUCCCUGUCUCUUAUAC
rnacentral:rRNA from 1 species